rnacentral:rRNA from 1 species
GAUGAACGCUAGCGGCAGGCCUAACACAUGCAAGCCGAGCGGUAUUUGUUCUUCGGUACAGAGAGAGCGGCGCACGGGUGCGGAACACGUGUGCAACCUGCCUUUAUCUGGGGGAUAGCCUUUCGAAAGGAAGAUUAAUACCCCAUAAUAUAUUGAGUGGCAUCAUUUGAUAUUGAAACCUCCGGUGGAUAGAGAUGGGCACGCGCAAGAUUAGAUAGUUGGUGAGGUAACGGCUCACCAACUCAAUGAUCUUUAGGGGACCUGAGAGGGUGAUCCCCUACACUGGUACUGAGGCACGGACCAGACUCCGACGGGAGGGAGGAGUGUAGUGUACAGGGGAAGGGGGUAGGGCGUGAUCAAGCCGUGCGGCGGGAAGAGCGACUGCGGUAUGAGUGGUAAACUUCUUGUGUAGAGGGAAAAAACGACUCUCGUGAGAGUAACUGAAGGUACCAGAAGAAGAAGCACCGGCUAACUCCGUG